GAGUAACACGUGAGGAACCUGCCUCUGAGAGUGGGAUAGCUUCUGGAAACGGAUGGUAAUACCGCAUAACAUAGCGAAACCGCAUGAUUUUGCUAUCAAAGUAUUUCGCUCAGAGAUGGCCUCGCGUCUGAUUAGAUAGUUGGUGAGGUAACGGCUCACCAAGUCGACGAUCAGUAGCCGGACUGAGAGGUUGAACGGCCACAUUGGGACUGAGACACGGCCCAGACUCCUACGGGAGGCAGCAGUGGGGGAUAUUGCACAAUGGGGGAAACCCUGAUGCAGCGAUGCCGCGUGGAGGAAGAAGGUUUUCGGAUUGUAAACUCCUGUUGUAAGGGAAGAGGAAGGACUGUACCUUACAAGAAAGCUCCGGCUAACUACGUGCCAGCAGCCGCGGUAAUACGUAGGGAGCGAGCGUUGUCCGGAAUGACUGGGUGUAAAGGGAGCGUAGGCGGGAUGGCAAGUCAGAUGUGAAACCUGAGGGCUCAACCUUCAGACUGCAUUUGAAGCUGCUGUUCUUGAGUGAAGUAGAGGUAAGCGGAAUUCCUGGUGUAGCGGUGAAAUGCGUAGAGAUCAGGAGGAACAUCGGUGGCGAAGGCGGCUUACUGGGCUUUUACUGACGCUGAGGCUCGAAAGCGUGG
rnacentral:rRNA from 1 species